CUCUAUUACCAAUUCCCAUCUACUUAUUGCUGCUAACUUUUGUAAUUAUUCACAUACAAUGCUUUUCAAUUCAUUUGGUCACAACUAGGAUAUCCAUGAUUUUAUAUUUUUUCUUUUGUCUUCCCUACUAAUUGAAACUGAUGUAAUUGAUGGUCGAUUUCUGUACAAUAAAUUAAUAAUUGCAUGCAAUUGUUGGUAUCCUUGUCUGUUUUGGUGGGUGCUAAAACUCUUGAUGAGACCCAAUCCCUUGUUUCACUCCACACAAGAGAUAGCUAGCAACACGACUCAAUUUUAUUGUCAGAUUCACUUUAAUUUGUCAACGAGUGCAACACAAGCCCAGCAUUUAUUUGGUGUAAUAUCAGAGCCUAUUGUUCCUCUUGCAUCAGUCACACUCCUGAAUUUCAAAUAUGCUUCCAGGUCACAUUCCAACUGGAGGGACCUGCAGCACUAUUCUGCUCCUUCAUUUUGAGUCCACACCCCUGGUGGUACAACAAGAAGGUGGAAGAUUGAGGGAAUGACAAAUCUCUGUUUACACUAUAAGAAGUUCAAAAUGUGAUUGUAUUGUUUGUCUUGAGAAAUAUGGCAGGCUAUUUAAUCAUAUAUGAGAAGAGGCAGAUGGAACCUAGUGCAGACUUGUAGCUUCCAUUAUCACAUUUUUUAGAUUAAAAUUCACUUCUCAGUCUUAGUGAGAGAAGUUCUUUUGAUUGAACAAUGCAGGAAUGAAGAAAUCAGCUAUUGGAGUAUUUUCUGUUGGAAGUCCCUGCUUGGAAUUCUUGUUUUGUUGUCUAUAAUGAAAACUAUGCGGGCCUGCAAGUCUGGCAACACAAAAAAAAAAAAUCCAUGCUGGAUGGAUCAUGCAAUUAAAGGUGGUCAACAAACUACCUCUCUCUAAGCUUUGGGAAUUGAUGGUGAACGGAAAAAUGUCAGCCCUCUCCAGACUUUUGGCUCUUUCAUCUUUUCCACACUCCAGAGAGUUCAAAAGGCUCAGCACAUCUCCUGUUCUUGUUGUCCUUGCAGUCCUCACCAGUAGGGGGUGUUAAACUCUGUUGUUACUAUCAAUAAUUCUAAAUUGUUGUAUGCUGAGAUAGUGAUGGGAGAGGCAUAGAGGGGGAAAAUAUCCCAAGAUG